rnacentral:rRNA from 1 species
AUUGAACGCUGGCGGCAUGCCUUACACAUGCAAGUCGAACGUGAAAGCGGGGCAACCCGCAAGUAGAGUGGCGGACGGGUGAGUAAUACAUCGGAACGUGUCCAGUAAUGGGGGAUAACCUAGCGAAAGUUAGGCUAAUACCGCAUACGAUCUGCGGAUGAAAGCGGGGGAUGCGGCACUAAAGGCUUUUGGCGAAGGUGGCCAAAGGUGAGUCAAGAGCUUUUAGUGCNGCACCUCGCGUUAUUGGAGCGGCUGAUGUCUGAUUAGCUAGUUGGUGAGGUAAAGGCUUACCAAGGCGACGAUCAGUAGCUGGUCUGAGAGGACGGCCAGCCACACUGGGACUGAGACACGGCCCAGACUCCUACGGGAGGCAGCAGUGGGGAAUUUUGGACAAUGGGGCAACCCUGAUCCAGCCAUGCCGCGUGAGUGAAGAGG